rnacentral:rRNA from 1 species
UGGGGAAUAUUGGACAAUGGGGGGAACCCUGAUCCAGCCAUGCCGCGUGUGUGAAGAAGGCCUUAUGGUUGUAAAGCACUUUAAGCGAGGAGGAGGGUACUGGUAUUAAUACUACCAGGUACUGGACGUUACUCGCAGAAUAAGCACCGGCUAACGCUGUGCCAGCAGCCGCGGUAAUACAGAGGGUGCGAGCGUUAAUCGGAUUUACUGGGCGUAAAGCGUGCGUAGGCGGCUAAUUGAGUCGGAUGUGAAAUCCCCGAGCUUAACUUGGGAAUUGCAUUCGAUACUGGUUAGCUAGAGUGUGGGAGAGGAUGGUAGAAUUCCAGGUGUAGCGGUGAAAUGCGUAGAGAUCUGGGGGACUACCGAUGGCGAAGGCAGCCAUCUGGCCUAACACUGACGCUGAGGUACGAAAGCAUGGGGAGCAAACAGG